rnacentral:rRNA from 1 species
UUUUUUUUUUUGGAGGGGCCAAUCUGGUGCCAGCAGCCGCGGUAAUUUCAGCUUCCAAUAGCGUAUAUUAAAGUUGUUGCAGUUAAAAAAGCUCGUAGUUGAAUUUCGGGGUCAGUAGUUUGGUUGUGCCACCGGUAUGUACUGGUCUCACUGAUUUCUCCUUCCUGAAGAACUGUAAUGUCAUUAAUUUGGUGUUGCGGGGAAUCAGGACUGUUACUUUGAAAAAAUUAGAGUAUUUAAAGCAAGCUAACGCUUGAAUACAUUAGCAUGGAAUAAUGAAAUAGGACGAUCGAUCCUAUUUUGUUGGUUUCUAGGAUUGACGUAAUGAUUAAUAGGGAUAGUUGGGGGCAUUAGUAUUCAAUUGUCAGAGGUGAAAUUCUUGGAUUUAUUGAAGACUAACUACUGCGAAAGCAUUUGCCAAGGAUGUUUUCAUUAAUCAAGAACGAAAGUUAGGGGAUCGAAGACGAUCAGAUACCGUCGUAGUCUUAACCAUAAACUAUGC